rnacentral:rRNA from 1 species
AGCAGUCGCCACGGGAAUACGAAGGGGGCUAGCGUUGCUCGGAAUCACUGGGCGUAAAGCGCACGUAGGCGGACUCUUAAGUCAGGGGUGAAAUCCCAGAGCUCAACUCUGGAACUGCCUUUGAUACUGGGUAUCUUGAGUAUGGAAGAGGUUAGUGGAAUUGCGAGUGUAGAGGUGAAAUUCGUAGAUAUUCGCAGGAACACCAGUGGCGAAGGCGGCUAACUGGUCCAUAACUGACGCUGAGGUGCGAAAGCGUGGGGAGCAAACAGGAUUAGAUACCCCUGUAGUCCCUGUCUCUUAUAC